rnacentral:lncRNA from 1 species
GGUCCUUUCACCGGUCCUCCUACACCUUCACUAUACAUUUGCCUGCAAUCCAUAGAGCUAUCUAUCCUCUUUUUCGGCCAGAAGACACUUCUUGGGCUCAUGGAACCCGGACCGCUCUGUACUGCGUCCAGAAAGUCCUAAGGCUGAGAAGCCUUCGAAACCGCGGAGUCAACGUACAGCCAACGGCGAUCGCAACCGCCCCACCCCUUGGCCCGAAGCUCCGCCCACACCGGGCGUCACCCAUUCUGAGGCCUCCAGUCCCCACCCCUUCCGGACAGUCCGGAAGUGACGUCAUGCACGGGCCGGUUGGUCGCUCAGCCUUCUUACCUCUCCAGGACUCUUUCUUCCCGGUCCUUUCCCUCCCUUCCCCUUUCCCUCCGCCAGUUCCAGCCUUAGCGGCCACGGCGUUGGCGCGGGCAAUGGAGUAAGAGGACGGCGGCGGCUAGGCGCGGAGGCCGAGCAAGCGCAGCCGGGAGGCGUUCAGGGGGCGGGGGGAGCGAGCCCCAGGGCCGCCCCUCCCGGGAGCAGCGCGGAGAGGUAACUGAGUACCCAGUACUGCAGCCAUGGAGUCCAUGCUUAAUAAAUUGAAGAGCACUGUUACGAAAGUAACAGCCGAUGUCACCAGUGCUGUCAUGGGGAAUCCUGUCACGCGGGAAUUUGAUGUUGGUCGACACAUCGCCAGUGGUGGCAAUGGGCUGGCUUGGAAAAUUUUUAAUGGCACAAAAAAGUCAACAAAACAAGAAGUGGCUGUUUUUGUCUUUGAUAAAAAGCUGAUUGACAAAUACCAAAAAUUUGAAAAAGAUCAAAUCAUCGAUUCUCUAAAACGAGGAGUCCAGCAGCUAACUCGCCUACGACACCCUCGACUUCUUACUGUGCAACACCCUUUAGAAGAAUCAAGGGAUUGCUUGGCAUUUUGUACAGAACCAGUUUUUGCGAGUUUAGCCAACGUUCUUGGUAACUGGGAAAAUCUACCUUCUGCUAUAUCUCCAGACAUUAAGGAUUAUAAACUUUAUGAUGUAGAAACCAAAUAUGGUUUGCUUCAGGUAUGUAUUUUUAUUUAAUAUAUAAAAAAAUAAUUUUCUUCUAAAUUUUUUUUUUCUGGCUA